UGAGUAAUAUAUCGGAACGUGCCCAGUAAUGGGGGAUAGCCCGGCGAAAGCCGGAUUAAUACCGCAUACGACCUAAGGGUGAAAGCGGGGGAUCGCAAGACCUCGCGUUAUUGGAGCGGCCGAUAUCAGAUUAGCUAGUUGGUGGGGUAAAAGCCUACCAAGGCGACGAUCUGUAGCUGGUCUGAGAGGACGACCAGCCACACUGGGACUGAGACACGGCCCAGACUCCUACGGGAGGCAGCAGUGGGGAAUUUUGGACAAUGGGCGCAAGCCUGAUCCAGCCAUGCCGCGUGUGGGAAGAAGGCCUUCGGGUUGUAAACCACUUUUGUCAGGGAAGAAACGGUUUUCAAUAACACUGGGAACUAAUGACGGUACCUGAAGAAUAAGCACCGGCUAACUACGUGCCAGCAGCCGCGGUAAUACGUAGGGUGCAAGCGUUAAUCGGAAUUACUGGGCGUAAAGCGUGCGCAGGCGGCUUUGCAAGACAGAUGUGAAAUCCCCGGGCUCAACCUGGGAACUGCAUUUGUGACUGCAUGGCUAGAGUACGGUAGAGGGGGAUGGAAUUCCGCGUGUAGCAGUGAAAUGCGUAGAUAUGCGGAGGAACACCGAUGGCGAAGGCAAUCCCCUGGACCUGUACUGACGCUCAUGCACGAAAGCGUGGGGAGCAAACAGGAUUAGAU
rnacentral:rRNA from 1 species